rnacentral:rRNA from 1 species
GAUGAACGCUGGCGGCGUGCUUAACACAUGCAAGUCGAACGAACCUUCGGGUUAGUGGCGGACGGGUGAGUAACGCGUGAGAAUCUGCCCUCAGGAGGGGGAUAACGGUUGGAAACGACCGCUAAUACCCCAUAUGCCUACUGGUGAAAUGAAUUUCGCCUGAGGAUGAGCUCGCGUCUGAUUAGCUAGUUGGUGAGGUAAUGGCUCACCAAGGCUUCGAUCAGUAGCUGGUCUGAGAGGAUGAUCAGCCACACUGGGACUGAGACACGGCCCAGACUCCUACGGGAGGCAGCAGUGGGGAAUUUUCCGCAAUGGGCGAAAGCCUGACGGAGCAACGCCGCGUGAGGGACGAAGGCCUCUGGGCUGUAAACCUCUUUUCUCAAGGAAGAAGAUAUGACGGUACUUGAGGAAUAAGCCACGGCUAAUUCCGUGCCAGCAGCCGCGGUAAUACGGGAGUGGCAAGCGUUAUCCGGAAUUAUUGGGCGUAAAGCGUCCGCAGGCGGCUUUUCAAGUCUGCUGUUAAAGCGUGGAGCUUAACUCCAUCAUGGCAGUGGAAACUGAAAGGCUUGAGUAUGGUAGGGGCAGAGGGAAUUCCCGGUGUAGCGGUGAAAUGCGUAGAUAUCGGGAAGAACACCAGUGGCGAAGGCGCUCUGCUGGGCCAUUACUGACGCUCAUGGACGAAAGCCAGGGGAGCGAAAGGGAUUAGAUACCCCUGUAGUCCUGGCCGUAAACGAUGAACACUAGGUGUCGGGGGAAUCGACCCCUUCGGUGUCGUAGCUAACGCGUUAAGUGUUCCGCCUGGGGAGUACGCACGCAAGUGUGAAACUCAAAGGAAUUGACGGGGGCCCGCACAAGCGGUGGAGUAUGUGGUUUAAUUCGAUGCAACGCGAAGAACCUUACCAGGGUUUGACAUCCUGCGAACCUCUUAGAAAUUUGAGGGUGCCUUCGGGAAUGCAGUGACAGGUGGUGCAUGGCUGUCGUCAGCUCGUGUCGUGAGAUGUUGGGUUAAGUCCCGCAACGAGCGCAACCCACGUUUUUAGUUGCCAGCAUUUAGUUGGGCACUCUAGAAAGACCGCCGGUGAUAAACCGGAGGAAGGUGUGGAUGACGUCAAGUCAUCAUGCCCCUUACACCCUGGGCUACACACGUACUACAAUGCUACGGACAAAGGGCAGCAAACUCGCGAGAGCUAGCAAAUCCCAUAAACCGUGGCUCAGUUCAGAUCGUAGGCUGCAACUCGCCUACGUGAAGUAGGAAUCGCUAGUAAUCGCAGGUCAGCAUACUGCGGUGAAUACGUUCCCGGGCCUUGUACACACCGCCCGUCACACCAUGGAAGUUGGCCAUGCCCGAAGUCGUUACUCCAACCCUUGUGGAGGAGGACGUCGAAGGUGGGGCUAAUGACUGGGGUG